GAUUCCUACGGGACGCAGCAGUGAGGAGUAUUGGUCAAUGGGCGAGAGCCUGAACCAGCCAAGUCGCGUGAGGGAAGACGGUCCUAUGGAUUGUAAACCUCUUUUGCCGGGGAGCAAAAAGCGGUACGCGUACCGCAUCGAGAGUACCCGGAGAAAAAGCAUCGGCUAACUCCGUGCCAGCAGCCGCGGUAAUACGGAGGAUGCGAGCGUUAUCCGGAUUUAUUGGGUUUAAAGGGUGCGCAGGCGGCACGGCAAGCCGGCGGUCAAAUCGCGGGGCUCAACCCCGCCCAGCCGUCGGAACUGCC
rnacentral:rRNA from 1 species